rnacentral:rRNA from 1 species
AGUGAACGCUGGCGGUAGGCCUAACACAUGCAAGUCGAACGGCAGCACAGGAGAGCUUGCUCUCUGGGUGGCGAGUGGCGGACGGGUGAGGAAUACAUCGGAAUCUACUCUGUCGUGGGGGAGAACGUAGGGAAACUUACGCUAAUACCGCAUACGACCUACGGGUGAAAGCCGGGGACCUUCGGGCCUUGCGCGAUUGAAUGAGCCGAUGUCGGAUUAGCUAGUUGGCGGGGUAAAGGCCCACCAAGGCGACGAUCCGUAGCGGGUCUGAGAGGAUGAUCAGCCACACUGGAACUGAGACACGGUCCAGACUCCUACGGGAGGCAGCAGUGGGGAAUAUUGGACAAUGGGCGCAAGCCUGAUCCAGCCAUACCGCGUGGGUGAAGAAGGCCUUCGGGUUGUAAAGCCCUUUUGUUGGGAAAGAAAUCCAGCUGGCUAAUACCCGGUUGGGAUGACGGUACCCAAAGAAUAAGCACCGGCUAACUUCGUGCCAGCAGCCGCCGCGG